UACCGAAGUAAACUAUUAUAGUGACAGACUUAAUCGUUCCACGAAUGCCCAUGGUGGUUUUUGCAAGCAAGCCACAGCUGGCCAUGAGCUCAUAUACAUUAGUAGGUACAGCCAGGUAUGAUCUCAUGUCUAGGUCAUAUGCAAAAUUGUAUGCUAGCUCACUUAUAGAUAGCUCUCUAACCACCUAACAAAUUUCUCUAAUGGCUUAACAAACUCUGGAACGACUUCCUCAAUCCUUCUAUAAAUAGUGGGUCAGG
rnacentral:lncRNA from 1 species